rnacentral:lncRNA from 1 species
AUUUUGGUUUAUUUCUACAAGUGGCAAGCAGCCGGGCCCUUUUGCUGGUUACAUAUGGACAGCCAUGUAGAAAUAGGAUUGGACUGAAAGUACUGCAGGGAAAGACCAUUGGUGUCACUUAUGAAGACUUCCCACCGUCUCCAUCAGGCAUUGGAAGUCCCCUGCCCACCAACAGACCUAAGUUGAAGUUGCAAAAUGAGGCUACCACCCUAG